UUGCAUAAGUCUACCAUUUUGCCUUCUGAGACUAAACACUGUCUCCAUCUGCAUUUGCAUGGCUAAAAGAUCGCCACUUUAUUUAUGUUUGCAUAGCUGAAUGAUCGCCACUUCAUUUUACAUUUUUGCAUGGCUGAAAGAUCGCCACUUUAUUUACGCUUGCAUGGCUGAAAGAUCGCCACUGAUUGCAUUUCAUGGGUUGAAAGAUCGCCACCUCCUACAUUUCAUGGGCUGAAAGAUCUCCAAAUUAUCUGAGGGCGUCAUUGUUCGGAGGCCUCGUUCUCAUAGCCCGAGAACCCCAUGUCAUGGCCUGAAGAUACUUUUAACUUUUUCGCACAUCAUCAUUCAAAGGCAUCAUGGUUCAGAGGCAUCAUUCUCAUUGCCCAGGAGCAUCAUUACAUAGCCUAUGAAUCCUUUAUUAUACGCUUCAUGGCCAAGGACGGCAUGGUCCGAGGACGUCAUCCCAACCAUCCAAAGACGAGAUUUAUGGUCCGACGAGAACUUGCAUCAUAUUUAGAUUUAUGCAUAAUAUACGCUAGUAUCGCUUAUUUGC
rnacentral:lncRNA from 1 species